rnacentral:rRNA from 1 species
AACGCUAGCUACAGGCUUAACACAUGCAAGUCGAGGGGAAACGAUAGAGAAAGCUUGCUUUUUCUAGGUGUCGACCGGCGCACGUGUGAGUAACGCGUAUCCAACCUACCCACCACUUGGGGAUAACCUUGCGAAAGUAAGACUAAUACCCAAUGAUAUCUCUAGAAGACAUCUGAAGGAGAUUAAAGAUUCAUCGGUGAUGGAUGGGGAUGCGUCUGAUUAGCUUGUUGGCGGGGUAACGGCCCACCAAGGCGACGAUCAGUAGGGGUUCUGAGAGGAAGGUCCCCCACAUUGGAACUGAGACACGGUCCAAACUCCUACGGGAGGCAGCAGUGAGGAAUAUUGGUCAAUGGGCGAGAGCCUGAACCAGCCAAGUAGCGUGCAGGAUGACGGCCCUAUGGGUUGUAAACUGCUUUUAUAAGGGAAUAAAGUGAGUCUCGUGAGACUUUUUGCAUGUACCUUAUGAAUAAGGACCGGCUAAUUCCGUGCCAGCAGCCGCGGUAAUACGGAAGGUCCGGGCGUUAUCCGGAUUUAUUGGGUUUAAAGGGAGCGUAGGCCGGAGAUUAAGCGUGUUGUGAAAUGUAGAUGCUCAACGUCUGCACUGCAGCGCGAACUGGUUUCCUUGAGUACGCACAAAGUGGGCGGAAUUCGUGGUGUAGCGGUGAAAUGCUUAGAUAUCACGAAGAACUCCGAUUG